AAUAUUUUUAGCAGGUUCUUCACAAUGCUCAGUACGAGAGAAACCGCAGGUUCAGACAUUUGGUGUAUGUGCUUGGCUGAGGAGCCAAUGGGGCAAAGCUACCAUCUGUGGGAUUAUGACUGAACGCCUCUAAGUCAGAAUCCCCCCUAAACGUAAUGAUACCGCAGCGCCGUGGAGCCUCGGUUGGCCCUGGAUAGCCGGCCACCCCCCACCUGGGGGGCAGGCCCCGGUGUGGAGAGCUGUUCAUGGCAGGACCGGAGAGCAGUUGGAACGGAGCCGCCUCUCACCCGCAGCGCACCGCAUGUUCGUGGGGAAUCCGGUACUAAAUCAUUUGUAGACGACCUGAUUCUGGGUCAGGGUUUCAUACGUAGCAGAGCAGCUACCUCGCUGCGAUCUAUUGAAAGUCAGCCCUAAAAAUUU
rfam:Alligator mississippiensis ScZkoYb_58, whole genome shotgun sequence.